AUUGAACGCUGGCGGCAUGCUUUACACAUGCAAGUCGAACGGCAGCGCAGGCUUCGGCCUGGCGGCGAGUGGCGAACGGGUGAGUAAUGCAUCGGAACGUGCCCAGUAGUGGGGGAUAGCCCGGCGAAAGCCGGAUUAAUACCGCAUACGACCUGAGGGUGAAAGCGGGGGACCGAAAGGCCUCGCGCUAUUGGAGCGGCCGAUGUCGGAUUAGCUAGUUGGUGGGGUAAAGGCUUACCAAGGCGACGAUCCGUAGCUGGUCUGAGAGGACGACCAGCCACACUGGGACUGAGACACGGCCCAGACUCCUACGGGAGGCAGCAGUGGGGAAUUUUGGACAAUGGGGGCAACCCUGAUCCAGCCAUGCCGCGUGCGGGAAGAAGGCCUUCGGGUUGUAAACCGCUUUUGUUCGGGAAGAAAUCCUCUGGGCUAAUACCCCGGGGGGAUGACGGUACCGGAAGAAUAAGCACCGGCUAACUACGUG
rnacentral:rRNA from 1 species